UAAGGGUGGGCUUCAUGGUUACUAGGAGUAGGUUGUAAGGGUGGACAUCAGGGUUGAUAGGGAUACGUUGUUAGGGUGGACAUCAGGGUUACUAGGGGUAGGUUGUAAGGGUGGACAUCAGGGUUACUAAGAGUAGGUUGUAAGGGUGGACAUCAGGGUUACUAGGAGUAGGUUGUAAGGGUGGACAUCAGGGUUACUAGGGGUAGGUUGUAAGGGUGGACAUCAGGGUUACUAGGAGUAGGUUGUAAGGAUGGACAUCAGGGUUACUAGGAGUAGGUUGCAAGGGUGGAUAUCAGGGUUACUAGGGGUAGGCUGUAAGGGUGGACAUCAGGGUUACUAGGGGAAGGUUGUAAGGGUGGACAGCAUGGUUACUAGGGGAAGGUUGUAAGGGUGGCCAUAAGGGUUACUAGGGGAAGGUUGUUAGGGUGGACAUCAGGGUUACUAGGGGAAGGUUGUAAGGGUGGACAUCAGGGUUACUAGGGGAAGGUUGUAAGGGUG